AAUAAGGUCACUAACCAUACAGCUUCGGACUUGGUUUGAGCCUCCGUUUGGUCAGCUGUCUUGGUCAUCAGCUUACGACGUGAAGCUCGGCGGCGAGGCAUCUUUCCUUCUAUAGGGCUACUACGAUGAACUGAUAAGAUACAACACAAUAAUACUUCUCCAAGAUACACAUCUAUUGAUUGUUUAACAAGUCCAUAUUCAUAAAUACCUGGCAAAAUACCUGUGGUGGCACAAUGAGGUACAACACGGCUUCUUCGGAUAGUUUUUUUACACACCCCUACAUAAAUACGGGCAAUCUGAGGGAUCUGAGGGCUCCGAGAAGACUCGCAAGUAGAACCAAUACUUUGUUCUGACACUGAUUCGGCUAUCGGAAAAUAUAGACUGUGAUGUGUGACUGGAUAAAAAUAUAUUUUGUUACUAAUAAUUAUAUUACUCGUGAUUAUAUUUUGAUACUAAA